UACGUAGGCAGCGAGCGUUGUUCGGAAUUACUGGGCGUAAAGAGUGUGUAGGUGGUGCUCUAAGUUCGGUGUGAAAUCUCCCGGCUUAACUGGGAGGGUGCGCCGAAAACUGGAGUGCUCGAGCGUGGGAGAGGAAAGCGGAAUUCCUGGUGUAGCGGUGAAAUCCGUAAAUAUACGAAGGAACGCCAAAAGCGAAGGCAGCUCUCUGGGUCCCUACCGACGCUGGGGUGCGAAAGCAUGGGGAGCGAACAGG
rnacentral:rRNA from 1 species